ACGAUUUAAGCUAAAAAUUACUUAAUUAAUCAAUUAACUUUAUUUAUAAAGAAUUACACUUGACAGAAAUUAAGCUAAUAAGCUCGUGGUCCUCUUUCAACGUCUCUAAUUAAUUAGGGACGGAACCACCGUUAUCGUGGUCAUCAUCCGAGCCAGGUUAAGSUCUAACCAUUUGGAGAUGUAAUUACAAAGGCAUCACCUCAGACCUAAGACCCUGAGCCUUAGUAUGUUAAGCCCCUGGAUUUGAGACCCUAAGGUAGAACUAGAAAACAAAACCAACCCAACCAGAGAACAACUACCAACAAAGCUGCCAACGAGGAGAUCUACGAUAACGAACUUGAGAUGGACGAAAAUGUGGUAUCCGCUGUUACAACAUCACUUGCACAGCCGCCUGCCAACACUGGACCGGAAUAUGAAACCAUACCACUGCCAAAUGAGAUUGCAAGGCCUCA